UACGUAGGGUGCAAGCGUUGUCCGGAAUUAUUGGGCGUAAAGAGCUCGUAGGCGGUCUGUCGCGUCUGCUGUGAAAACUCAGGGCUUAACCCUGAGCUUGCAGUGGGUACGGGCAGACUAGAGUGCGGUAGGGGAGACUGGAAUUCCUGGUGUAGCGGUGAAAUGCGCAGAUAUCAGGAGGAACACCGGUGGCGAAGGCGGGGUCUCUGGGACGGUACUGACGCUGGAGACGCGAAAAGCGUGGGGAGCGAACAGG
rnacentral:rRNA from 1 species